rnacentral:rRNA from 1 species
AUUGAACGCUGGCGGCAUGCCUUACACAUGCAAAUCGAACGGUAACGGGCCUUCGGGUGCCGACGAGUGGCGCACGGGUGAGUAUUACACCGGAACGUGCCCGAUCGCGGGGGGGAAUGAGGCGAAAGCUUUGCUAAUACCGCAUACGAGCUACGGAUGAUAGCGGGGGACCGCAAGGCCUUGUGCGGUCUGAGCGGACGAUGGGAGAUUAGGUAGUUGGUGGGGUAAAAGCUUACAACGCCGCGGAUCGGGAGCUGGUCUGAGAGGAUGAGGAGCCACAGUGGGACUGAGACACGGCCCAGACUCCUACGGGAGGCAGCAGUGGGGAAUUUUGGACGAUGGGCGCAAGCCUGAUCCAGCCAUGCCGCGUGCAGGAUGAAGGCCUUCGGGUUGUAAACUGAUUUUGUACGGAAAGAAAAGCCUUCUUUUAAAACAGGAGGGUCAUGACGGUACCGAAAGAAUAAGCACCGGCUAACUACGUG